GCUGGCGGUAUGCUUAACACAGGCAAGGUCGAACGGUAAAGCAAAGCUUGCUCUGGCUGACGAGUGGCGGACGGUGAGUCAACGCGUGGGAAUCUACCUUAGAGUGGGGGAGAGCCCGGAGAAAUCCGGAUUAAUACCGCAGAAUACUACGGUUGAAAGGGGGCCUCUUCUUGAAAGCUCUCGCUCUAAGAUGAGCCCGCGUUAGAUUAGCUAGAUGGUGGGGUAAUGGCCUACCAUGGCGACGAUCUAUAGCUGGUCUGAGAGGACGAUCAGCCACACUGGGACUGAGACACGGCCCAGACUCCUACGGGAGGCAGCAGUGGGGAAUAUUGGACAAUGGGCGCAAGCCUGAUCCAGCAAUACCGCGUGUAUGAAGAAGGCCUGAGGGUUGUAAAGUACUUUCAAUUGUGACGAAAGAUUGAUGGUUAAUAACCAUCGAUUCUGACAUUAACUUUAGAAGAAGCACCGGCUAACCCUCUGCCAGCAGCCGCGGUAAUACAGGGGGUGCGAGCGUUAAUCGGAAUUACUGGGCGUAAAGCGUACGUAGGCGGAUAUUUAAGUCAGAUGUGAAAGCCCCGGGCUCAACCUGGGAACUGCAUUUGAAACUGGGUAUCUAGAGUUUGGUAGAGGCAGGUAGAAUUCCUAGUGUAGCGGUGAAAUGCGUAGAUAUUAGGAGGAAUACCAGUGGCGAAGGCGGCCUGCUGGACCAAAACUGACGCUGAGGUACGAAAGCGUAUGGGAGCACAACGGGAUUAGAUACCCCGGUAGUCCACGCCGUAAACGAUGUCAACUAGUCGUUGGGACCCCUUGAGGUCUUAGUGACGCAGCUAACGCUGAGUUGACCGCCUGGGGAGUACGCCGCAAGGCUAAAACUCAAAUGAAUGAACG
rnacentral:rRNA from 1 species